CAUGACAUUAGUAAUUACUUCCCAAAGCUCCGCCUUUGAUCACAUUGGGGAUUGUGGGAAUCAACAAAUGAUUUCAGGGAGACCUGGCCUGCAGGGCAGUGGAGCGCUUUUCCAGCUCACCUAACCGCACACCAUCUGAGAGGCAAGUGCUGGUACCAUCCUCCAUGGCAGAGGGAACUAGAAGCAGCCCAGUGGACCAUAGGGAGGCUGGAGUCCCAAGUCGAAGUGGGCAGCGGCGGCUAUAUGGAACUACCCAGCCUGUCUGAGGAAGAUCCUGGCCCAAGUCCAGGAGCUAAGCCAGGCAGCCCCUACUCACAGGAGGACGCCAGGACAUCUGAGGAUGCCCAGAGCUCUCCCCUCACAGUCAAGACUGGCCUAGCAGCCCUAUGGGAUGAGCUUAGGGGCAAUUGUGGCACCAUUUCACAGACUGAGACACUGAGACCCAGAGGCACGAAUGUACCAGUCAGUCUACACACUGUGGACACACACCCCUGUUUUUGUUAGAGUUUAAAAACUCCUGGUCAAGAGACUAGAAUGUCUGGCCUAGGUGGAAACCUACCAUUCCAGUGGGGCCAAGUCACUCACUCAGCCAAGGGACCAGCCCUGGGAAGGAGGGCUCACCUUAAGCUGUGCUAAAGAGAUGGGCGGAAUAAAUAGCCCUUUAACGAGAUACUGUACUUUUCCUCCCAGAAUCCCAGCCUCCAGUGUAGUAGCUUAGGGCUAAGUCUGCCCAUUUUUCUGAAUUAUUCAGAGAAGUGUAACUUUGCCUCUUCUCCUUUCCGCCUCCUUUCUAAGCAUUUCUCUUCAGGCUUUCCUUCCAGCGCUUUGGACUCCCCACUCUUUUCCUAAAGUUCCACUUCCCACCGUGGGGCUGCUUAUCUGCCACACAUCUGACAUCCAGGCCAGCUUAAGUGACAUGACCCUUUCCCUUCUCUCCUCC